AAUUUAAGGUGUAUUUUCAUCACCUUUUCUUUUUCCUCUACCCACCUCUCCAGAAAUCCUUGAUCCAAAACAGCCUAAAUUCUUGGAAAGAAGCUGCAUCCCGCAAAUAUGCCCAACUAAAAUUGAAAUCAACGUCAACCAGUUCUAGAAAUACUACAAUUUACAACGAUCCCAGUUGUACUCAAAGGAUUAACAGAGAACUUCAACAGACUGAAAGCAGAAGCCUCAAGAGUAUGAGAGCAUAUUGGCAUAUAAGAUAUUACGGUAAAUACAUUGGUCAAUUACACCAUUCUUUUGUUUGAACUGCUUGCAUGAAUACAACUCUCAUUCUUGAAGCAGCAAUUUGCUUCAACCAACAUGCAUGUUACAGAAUCUCAGGUUCAGAAUAGUGCUCGCGCCACAACUGUUGGCUGUAAUUUGCUUAAAUCAAAUCAUUAUUUCCUUAGAAUAAAAAAGCACAUGAUUGCUGUCGAACUAUACUUUCCUUGCUCAAAUAACAUUCGGGAGAGACAAAGCACAGUUGCAAAGCAGAAAAACUCAACCAGCAGGAACCAAUUUAAAACUUGUCCCCAUAAUAAUAAGCUGUGCCACCCAUUAAUGCAACGGUAGCACCUUGAGCAACCACACGAGCUCUCAUUAGCUGCUGACCCAAGUGAGAAUUGCCCUGUCUGAAACUGAUUAACCCAGC